rnacentral:rRNA from 1 species
GAUGAACGCUAGCGAUAGGCUUAACACAUGCAAGUCGAGGGGCAGCAUGGUCUUAGCUUGCUAAGACUGAUGGCGACCGGCGCACGGGUGCGUAACGCGUAUGCAACUUGCCUCACAGAGGGGGAUAACCCGUCGAAAGACGGACUAAUACCGCGUACACUUGGGAUAGGGCAUCCUAUCCCAAGGAAAUGAAAUUCGCUGUGAGAUAGGCAUGCGUCCCAUUAGCUAGUUGGUGAGGUAACGGCUCACCAAGGCGACGAUGGGUAGGGGAACUGAGAGGUUGAACCCCCACACUGGUACUGAGACACGGACCAGACUCCUACGGGAGGCAGCAGUGAGGAAUAUUGGUCAAUGGGCGAGAGCCUGAACCAGCCAAGUCGCGUGAAGGAUGACUGUCUUAUGGAUUGUAAACUUCUUUUAUACGGGAAUAACAAGAGCCAC